ACCCGACUUUCUCUCACGCAUGGCCCCACACAAUUAGUGCACCGACUUGGCUUUUAGACCGUGGCAAAGAGACGUGUUGAAGUGUGUAAGGAUGGUGAAGACCUGAGUUGUAUCCUCCAUUUAUAUGUAAGCACGCAUAUGAAACAGGAAGAAAAGAAAAGUAGAGAAAAUGGUGAAGCUAUUUCACAGAGCUCUGCGUGCUUGUAUACUAAUCCUAGUAUUGCUUGGAUCACGGUCUUUUAUGGUAGAAUGAAGGAGUACGAACUUCUAUUCUCCUCUUCAAGGGAUUGCACUACGUAGACGCGAAAUGGAGCUCUCCGCUAAUAAAGUACGGGUCGACAGUCCAAGGAGAAAUCCGAGCAAAAGUCAAUUUUAUACCCCACCACCAGGCACAGGCACAAGAUUCUAAGCAUAUAUACGAUACUUGUACCGUUCCGUGUCUUGAAUCCAUACGCCAAGACAAGGCAUCGCAUGGCACCGUAUAACCAUUUUUAUGUACGUUUUUUAAAUAAAUGAAGGACGUUGGAAUA